rnacentral:ncRNA from 2 species
GUGUGACAUCCUGUGGCAGGUGACGGACGCGGUGGAACACCGGUGCGAAUCCGGGGCUGUCCCGCAACUGUGACCGGUCGGCGCCCGCUCAGCGGGGCCGCCGGGAGCCAGGAACGCCGGCCGUCGCGUGAAGCC